GGCGAAUUAGCUCAGCCGGUUAGAGCGACGGAAUCAUAAUCCGCAGGUCCCCCGUUCGAAUCGGGGAUUCGCCA
rnacentral:tRNA from 1 species